CCUACGGGAGGCAGCAGUAGGGAAUUUUCGUCAAUGGGCGCAAGCCUGAACGAGCAAUGCCGCGUGAACGAGGAAGGUCUUCGGAUCGUAAAGUUCUGUUGAAGGGGAAAAAGAGCGGAGAGAGGAAAUGGUCUCCGAUUGAUAUUACCCUUCGAGGAAGUCACGGCUAACUACGUGCCAGCAGCCGCGGUAAUACGGAGGUGGCGAGCGUUAUCCGGAUUGAUUGGGCGUAAAGGGGUCGUAGGCGGCCUGCUAAGUCUGGAGUGAAAGGUACCGGCUCAACCGGGACAGGCUCUGGAAACUGGCGGGCUAGAGAGCAGGAGAGGGCGGUGGAACUCCAUGUGUAGCGGUAAAAUGCGUAGAUAUAUGGAAGAACACCAGUGGCGAAGGCGGCCGCCUGGCCUGUUACUGACGCUGAGGCACGAAAGCGUGGGGAGCAAAUAGGAUUAGAUACCCCAGUAGUC
rnacentral:rRNA from 1 species